CACGUCCAGACGCAGCUUCCGGUUCCUUUUGCGGUGAUUGCUACGGUAACGCGGCCGGUAGUCCUGCGAUGGCGUGCACCAGAGAGGAGGUGGCCUUCCAUGCCUCACCGGCUGAGGCCAGCCGCGAACCUGGCGUGUCCUGGUCUGCCCGGGGCUCCAGCCUCCGACCCGCCAUGCACAUGGACAUCCAAGCCGUGUCCUGCGGCCUCCCGUGGGAUUCUUCCUCCAGAAUGAGGUUUUUUUUUUUUUUAGCAUAAAACUAUAAGUAUUGUGUAUGUAUGAUCUGCGUGCAUGCAUCUUCAGAAGACGACUUUUAUAAAGGGUCCGGGGAUGGAACUCUAGCUUGCAGGAUCCUCUGAUUCCAGGUACCAUACAAAGAUGUUUACAAGAAAUGCAGAGGUAAAACAGCUGCUCCGAAAGCCAACCUUUUGUGUCCUUAACGGCAGAGUGUCAGUUAAAUCGCCCCAGCGCCCGGAAGCUUUUAUUCAUGUUUACACUGCUGUGAGUAGUUAUAAAUAAAUAAACCAAUAAAUAAAUGCUGGCAGUUUGCUUCUGGGAAGCUGUGUGUCUCGUCUACUCUCAGCCGUCCAAUUGGCUUUGGUGCUCACUGGGUGAAGGGAAAGACUUUGCAGACUGCUCUGGGGACCUGGAAGCAGAGCAGUGGUGGCAAACAGCAUGUUGCUAACUAUUAGUGGUAACAAAACUCCUGGCCCAAAAAAAAAAAAAAAAAAUAGCAGCUUAAGGGAGUAAGGGUUUACCUUGUCUCCCAGCUGGCAGGUGCAGGGAUCAUGGCAAGAGCUUGAGGUGGCUGGUUGCAUGGCAUCCAGCAAAGAGAUGAACACCGCUGCCUGCCUCCAGGUCCCCAUCCUGCAGGGGUCAGCGGCUCCUCCUCCCUACGUAAACCUUUCUGGAAGCAUCCUCAUAGACAGACACAUCCUCAGGAGUUUCC
rnacentral:lncRNA from 1 species